UACGUAGGGUCCGAGCGUUGUCCGGAAUUAUUGGGCGUAAAGGGCUCGUAGGCGGUUCGUCACGUCGGGAGUGAAAACUCGGGGCUUAACCCCGGGCCUGCAGUGGGUACGGGCAGACUAGAGUGCGGUAGGGGAGACUGGAAUUCCUGGUGUAGCGGUGAAAUGCGCAGAUAUCAGGAGGAACACCGGUGGCGAAGGCGGGUCUCUGGACCCUUUCUGACGCUGAGGCGCGAAAGCCAGGGGAGCAAACGGG
rnacentral:rRNA from 1 species